rnacentral:lncRNA from 13 species
CAUUGGGUAGUUGAAAGCAAAUCCCAGCUAUCAGGUGAUUUCAUCUGGAUUGACUUUGCCACUGGAUCAUGGUACUGUGGGCUGAGCAGAUGAUUGAUAGGACAUCACUGGGCCUGGCUCCAGAAGAACUGGAACAAGAUCUUGCCCCUCUCUGGGCCUCAGUUUCCCUAUCUGUACCACAGGGCAUUGACCUCUGCAUGUUCUUCGAGACCUCUUCCAGUUCUGCUUGGUUUGCAACAGGGUUAGUAACCCUGGGAAUGGGAGAGAGGGAGACACUUGACGCCGAUGGAUCCUCCAGUGAUUUGUGUGCACACUGAAGUUCAAGAGGCUCUGCUCCAGAUGCUGUCAUUAUUCUCCUAAUUUUAUGGUUAAGGAAGCUGAGUCUCUGAUGGAGAAGAAGAUGGCGAGGCCUUGGCUGGAGUGGAGAGUUCAGGUACUUAAGGUACAUGGGUUUAAAGUUCAAGGGGCAUAAGUUUCCCAGUGGGGAGCAGGGAACAGGCGAAACGUGUGCUAGUAAAUGUUUUAACAAUUGAUCUGAGGAAUGGGAGCAGUCUUAAAGUGUUUGCCAGUUUCCAUGGUAUAACUACUCUCACUAUGGUGGAUUUCAAAUUACCAACCUGAUGGCACUGAACAUGGCAUUGGAAAGUGACAAUCAUGAUUGACCCCAACACAG